AUAAGAUUAAGUUAGAUAGACUAAAUGUUUUCAAAACAUUAAGCGAUGUUUUUUCAUCAUCUUAUG
rnacentral:tRNA from 1 species